CCUUGACGUGGGGGAUAACGUAGGGAAACUUACGCUAAUACCGCAUACGUCCUACGGGAGAAAGCGGGGGACCUUCGGGCCUCGCGCGGUCAGACGGACCGAUGUUCGAUUAGCUAGUUGGUAAGGUAACGGCUUACCAAGGCGACGAUCGAUAGCUGGUCUGAGAGGAUGAUCAGCCACACUGGAACUGAGACACGGUCCAG
rnacentral:rRNA from 1 species